rnacentral:rRNA from 1 species
UGAGAGCUGCGGCGUCUUAACACAUGCAAGUCGAACGAUGAUCCGGUGCUUGCAUCGGGGAUUAGUGGCGAACGGGUGAGUAACACGUGAGUAACCUGCCCUUGACUCUGGGAUAAGCCUGGGAAACUGGGUCUAAUACCGGAUAUGACCAUUCCGCGCAUGUGAUGGUGGUGGAAAGCUUUUGCGGUUUUGGAUGGACUCGCGGCCUAUCAGCUUGUUGGUGGGGUAAUGGCCUACCAAGGCGACGACGGGUAGCCGGCCUGAGAGGGUGACCGGCCACACUGGGACUGAGACACGGCCCAGACUCCUACGGGAGGCAGCAGUGGGGAAUAUUGCACAAUGGGCGAAAGCCUGAUGCAGCGACGCCGCGUGAGGGAUGACGGCCUUCGGGUUGUAAACCUCUUUCAGUAGGGAAGAAGCGAAAGUGACGGUACCUGCAGAAGAAGCGCCGGCUAACUACGUGCCAGCAGCCGCGGUAAUACGUAGGGCGCAAGCGUUAUCCGGAAUUAUUGGGCGUAAAGAGCUCGUAGGCGGUUUGUCGCGUCUGCUGUGAAAGACCGGGGCUCAACUCCGGUUCUGCAGUGGGUACGGGCAGACUAGAGUGAUGUAGGGGAGACUGGAAUUCCUGGUGUAGCGGUGAAAUGCGCAGAUAUCAGGAGGAACACCGAUGGCGAAGGCAGGUCUCUGGGCAUUAACUGACGCUGAGGAGCGAAAGCAUGGGGAGCGAACAGGAUUAGAUACCCUGGUAGUCCAUGCCGUAAACGUUGGGCACUAGGUGUGGGGGACAUUCCACGUUUUCCGCGCCGUAGCUAACGCAUUAAGUGCCCCGCCUGGAG